AGCGAACGCUGGCGGCAGGCCUAACACAUGCAAGUCGAACGGCAGCACAGUAAGUGCUUGCUCUUACGGGUGGCGAGUGGCGGACGGGUGAGGAAUACAUCGGAAUCUACUUUUUCGUGGGGGAUAACGUAGGGAAACCUACGCUAAUACCGCAUAUGACCUACGGGUGAAAGCAGGGGAUCUUUGGACCUUGUGCGAUUGAAUGAGCCGAUGUCGGAUUAGCUAGUUGGCGGGGUAAAGGCCAACCAAGGCGACGAUCCGUAGCUGGUCUGAGUGGAUGGUCAGCCACACUGGAACUGAGACAGGGUCCCGACUCCUACGGGAGGCCGCAGUGGGAAAUAUUGGACAAUGGGGGCAAGCCUGAUCCAGCCAUACCGCGUAGGUGAAGAAGGCCUCCGGGUUGGAAAGCCCUUUUGUUGGGAAAGAAAAGCAGCAGGUUAAUACCCCGCUGUUCUGACGGUACCCAGAGAAUAAGCACCGGCUAACUUCGUG
rnacentral:rRNA from 1 species